UCGGAUCGCAGGCUGCAACCCGCCUGCGUGAAGUCGGAAUCGCUAGUAAUCGCGGAUCAGCAUGCCGCGGUGAAUACGUUCCCGGGCCUUGUACACACCGCCCGUCACACCAUGGGAGCCGGUAAUACCCGAAGUCAGUAGUCCAACCUCGUGAGGACGCUGCCGAAGGUAGGAUUGGCGACUGGGGUGAAGUCGUAACAAGGUAUC
rnacentral:rRNA from 1 species